GGGCCCGUAGCUCAGCCUGGUUUAGAGCACUACGCUGAUAACGUAGGGGUCAUGGGUUCGAAUCCCAUCGGGCCCA
rnacentral:tRNA from 1 species